CGGGUAACCUGCCCAAGAGAUCGGGAUAACACCUGGAAACAGAUGCUAAUACCGGAUAACAACAGAUGAUGCCUAUCAACUGUUUAAAAGAUGGUUCUGCUAUCACUCUUGGAUGGACCUGCGGUGCAUUAGCUAGUUGGUAGGGUAACGGCCUACCAAGGCGAUGAUGCAUAGCCGAGUUGAGAGACUGAUCGGCCACAUUGGGACUGAGACACGGCCCAAACUCCUACGGGAGGCAGCAGGC
rnacentral:rRNA from 1 species